rnacentral:rRNA from 1 species
CCUUUCGGGGAACCAGGAGACAGGUGCUGCAUGGCUGUCGUCAGCUCGUGUCGUGAGAUGUUUGGGUUAAGUCCCGCAACGAGCGCAACCCUUAUCUUUAAUUGCCAGCAUUCAGUUGGGCACUUUAAAGAGACUGCCGGUGUUAAACCGGAGGAAGGUGGGGAUGACGUCAAGUCCUCAUGGCCUUUAUGCUUAGGGCUACACACGUGCUACAAUGGCCGGCACAGCGGGAAGCGAGGGGGCGACCUUGAGCGGAUCCCUCAAAGCCGGUCUCAGUUCGGAUUGCAGUCUGCAACUCGACUGCAUGAAGUUGGAAUCGCUAGUAAUCGUGGAUCAGCCAAGCCGCGGUGAAUACGUUCCCGGGCCUU